rnacentral:rRNA from 1 species
GACGAACGCUGGCGGCGUGCUUAACACAUGCAAGUCGAACGGAAAGGCCCUGCUUUUGUGGGGUGCUCGAGUGGCGAACGGGUGAGUAACACGUGAGUAACCUGCCCUUGACUUUGGGAUAACUUCAGGAAACUGGGGCUAAUACCGGAUAGGAGCUCCUGCUGCAUGGUGGGGGUUGGAAAGUUUCGGCGGUUGGGGAUGGACUCGCGGCUUAUCAGCUUGUUGGUGGGGUAGUGGCUUACCAAGGCUUUGACGGGUAGCCGGCCUGGGAGGGUGACCGGCGACAUUGGGACUGAGGUAGGGACCAGACUCCUACGGGAGGCAGCAGUGGGGAAUAUUGCACAAUGGGCGGAAGCCUGAUGCAGCAACGCCGCGUGCGGGAUGACGGCCUUCGGGUUGUAAACCGCUUUCGCCUGUGACGAAGCGUGAGUGACGGUAAUGGGUAAAGAAGCACCGGCUAACUACGUG